rnacentral:lncRNA from 1 species
GGGUGGACUUCAAGAAGAGCCCUACCCGCAACGCCAGGAGUAACCUUAAAGUUAUCGUGCCACCCGACCCUCCGACUGUGCGGCAGAAGGACGGCAGUCAAGUCUGGAGUGUCGUGGGUCCCUACAAUGAAGGGGAUACCCUGGACCUGACCUGCUCUGUAACGGGAGGGAUUCCCAGUCCAAAAGUGAGAUGGCGUCUCGGGAACAAGAUUGUCAAGCGAACUCAAGAAGCCCCAACUGAAGGCGUGGUGGAGAACAGGCUCGUGAUAGAGCGCCUGAGCCGCGACCAUCUGCACGCUGCGCUCGUCUGUGAGGCCGCCAAUACGAACUACAGCGCCCCGCUCACAGCCAUGAUCACCAUAGAGA